rnacentral:rRNA from 1 species
UACGGAAGGCAGCAGUGGGGAAUAUUGCACAAUGGGCGCAAGCCUGAUGCAGCCAUGCCGCGUGUAUGAAAAAGGCCUUCGGGUUGUAAAGUACUUUCAGUCGUGAGGAAGGUGUUAAGGUUAAUAACCUUAGCAAUUGACGUUAGCGACAGAAGAAGCACCGGCUAACUCCGUGCCAGCAGCCGCGGUAAUACGGAGGGUGCGAGCGUUAAUCGGAAUUACUGGGCGUAAAGGGCACGCAGGCGGUUAAUUAAGUUGGAUGUGAAAUCCCCGGGCUUAACCUGGGAAUGGCAUUCAAGACUGGUUAGCUAGAGUCUUGUAGAGGGGGUAGAAUUCCAUGUGUAGCGGUGAAAUGCGUAGAGAUGUGGAGGAAUACCGGUGGGCGAAGGCGGCCCCUGGGACAAAGGACUGACGCUCAUGUGCGAAAGCGUGGGGAGCAAAC